CCUACGGGAGGCAGCAGUGGGGAAUUUUGGACAAUGGGCGCAAGCCUGAUCCAGCAAUGCCGCGUGCAGGAUGAAGGCCUUCGGGUUGUAAACUGCUUUUGUACGGAACGAAACGGUGAGCUCUAAUAAAGUUUGCUAAUGACGGUACCGUAAGAAUAAGCACCGGCUAACUACGUGCCAGCAGCCGCGGUAAUACGUAGGGUGCGAGCGUUAAUCGGAAUUACUGGGCGUAAAGCGUGCGCAGGCGGUUAUAUAAGACAGAUGUGAAAUCCCCGGGCUCAACCUGGGACCUGCAUUUGUGACUGUAUAGCUAGAGUACGGUAGAGGGGGAUGGAAUUCCGCGUGUAGCAGUGAAAUGCGUAGAUAUGCGGAGGAACACCGAUGGCGAAGGCAAUCCCCUGGACCUGUACUGACGCUCAUGCACGAAAGCGUGGGGAGCAAACAGGAUUAGAUACCCUGGUAGUCCACGCCCUAAACGAUGUCAACUGGUUGUUGGGUCUUCACUGACUCAGUAACGAAGCUAACGCGUGAAGUUGACCGCCUGGGGAGUCGGCCGCAAGGUUGAAGCUUAAAUGAAUUGACCGGNGUGAGAGNGCGAGGCGACGACGAGGGAGGAGG
rnacentral:rRNA from 1 species